rnacentral:rRNA from 1 species
CCUACGGGCGGCAGCAGUGAGGAAUAUUGGUCAAUGGCCGAGAGUCUGAACCAGCCAAGUCGCGUGAGGGAUGACUGCCCUAUGGGUUGUAAACUUCUUUUAUAUGGGAAUAAAAUGUUCCACGUGUAGGAUUUUGUAUGUACCUUAUGAAUAAGGAUCGGCUAACUCCGUGCCAGCAGCCGCGGUAAUACGGAGGAUCCGAGCGUUAUCCGGAUUUAUUGGGUUUAAAGGGAGCGUAGGGGGGUUGUUAAGUCAGUUGUGAAAGCGUGGGGCUCAACCGUAAAAUUGCAGUUGAAACUGGAAGGCUUGAGUACAGGAGAGGUAGGCGGAAGUCGUGGUGGAGCGGUGAAAUGCUUAGAUAUCACGAAGAACCCCGAUUGCGAAGGCAGUUCACCAGACUGCGACUGACACUGAGGCACGAAAGCGUGGGUAGCAAACAGGAUUAGAUACCCCAGUAGUC